rfam:Triticum aestivum genome assembly, contig: Triticum_aestivum_CS42_TGACv1_scaffold_222623_3B
UAGCUACUUCCUCCGUUCCAUAUUAGUUGUUGCUGAAACGGAUGCAUGUAGACAUAUUUUAGUGCUAUAUACAUCCGUUUGAGCGACAACUAAUAUGGAACGGAGGGAGUAGAUG